UGGGGAAUAUUGGGCAAUGGAGGAAACUCUGACCCAGCAACGCCGCGUGAAGGAUGAAGGUUUUCGGAUUGUAAACUUCUGUCGCGAGGGAUGAAGAAUGACGGUACCUCGUAAGAAAGCCCCGGCAAACUACGUGCCAGCAGCCGCGGUAAUACGUAGGGGGCAAGCGUUGUCCGGAAUGACUGGGCGUAAAGGGAGUGUAGGCGGCCUUUUAAGUUAUAUGUGAAAGCCCACGGCUCAACCGUGGAACUGCAUAUAAAACUGCAGGUCUUGAGUACAGUAGAGGUGGGCGGAAUUCGUGGUGUAGCGGUGAAAUGCUUAGAUAUCACGAAGAACUCCGAUUGCGAAGGCAGCACACUAGACUGGUCACUGACACUGAGGCUCGAAAGUGUGGGUAUCAAACA
rnacentral:rRNA from 1 species